CAGUCGCCGCGGGAAUACGUAGGGUGCAAGCGUUAAUCGGAAUUACUGGGCGUAAAGCGUGCGCAGGCGGUUAUAUAAGACAGAUGUGAAAUCCCCGGGCUCAACCUGGGAACUGCAUUUGUGACUGUAUAGCUAGAGUACGGCAGAGGGGGAUGGAAUUCCGCGUGUAGCAGUGAAAUGCGUAGAUAUGCGGAGGAACACCGAUGGCGAAGGCAAUCCCCUGGGCCUGUACUGACGCUCAUGCACGAAAGCGUGGGGAGCAAACAGGAUUAGAUACCCCUGUAGUCCCUGUCUUUUAUAC
rnacentral:rRNA from 1 species